rnacentral:ncRNA from 2 species
GGCUAGCACAGGCUAAAAUCGUGUGCGUUGGACCUGACUCUAUGGAGGACAGGGAUGCAAGACUCUGCGCUGUACAGAGCACUCAACUACUAUCCUUAACAGGACGAAGAUCGCAAAUGGCCGCGGUUUAGUUGUUU